rnacentral:rRNA from 1 species
AUUGAACGCUGGCGGCAUGCUUUACACAUGCAAGUCGAACGGCAGCACGGGCUUCGGCCUGGUGGCGAGUGGCGAACGGGUGAGUAAUAUAUCGGAACGUACCCAGAAGUGGGGGAUAACGUAGCGAAAGUUACGCUAAUACCGCAUACGAUCUACGGAUGAAAGUGGGGGACCUUCGGGCCUCAUGCUUUUGGAGCGGCCGAUAUCUGAUUAGCUAGUAGGUGGGGUAAAGGCCCACCUAGGCGACGAUCAGUAGCUGGUCUGAGAGGACGACCAGCCACACUGGAACUGAGACACGGUCCAGACUCCUACGGGAGGCAGCAGUGGGGAAUUUUGGACAAUGGGCGCAAGCCUGAUCCAGCAAUGCCGCGUGAGUGAAGAAGGCCUUCGGGUUGUAAAGCUCUUUUGUCAGGGAAGAAACGGCUGAGGCUAAUAUCCUCGGCUAAUGACGGUACCUGAAGAAUAAGCACCGGCUAACUAC